UAAAACCUUUGCCAAGGUCCCGAAUACGUUUAGGUUGUAGUAAGUAUAGUGAAUGAACCACCUGAAAGGGGUAAGAGUAUAAUUGGUCUAGUUUGAAUGAGAAAGGUUUCGGGGACGAAACCUCAUUUAAGGGGGGUAGACUUGUAACGCCCCAAAACCCGAACGUUUAACUCACUAAUGAGAUUUCAUGGAAUACGAGAUAAAAUGUGACAAAUAUGUUAUUUAACUUGGUCACAAUACAAGUUAGAUAAUAGUAGUAAAGUUUGUGACUAAGCAAUUACCACAUUAAACUUAAGGGACUAAAAGUGACAGGUUAAGAAAGCUAGAUGAAUAAAAUGAAAUAAGAAUUAAAACACACACACAUCAGGUGUGUGUGUGUGUUCGACGCCCAGAGCCAGAGAAGAAAGGGGAAACCCUUCUAACCACAAAAUCCAGCCAAUUGAAGCCCCAAUCGUGACCAAAUCUCAUGCAUGUCAAUGAUUUCUUGAUCAUCUAGGCCUAUUAAAGCUUAAGGAUGAAUAACAUAUCUACGAACUCAAGCACGGAGGCUAACGGGUCGAAAGUAAACACGGAACCUAUGCUUGAACUUGGUCGCUCAAGGCGAUACGUGUUACGGAGGAUCAUCAAGGAAUAUAGAUCAAGGAUCGAGUCAGUUGAGGGAUUGUACGGGGCUGUCUGAGGAUGUAAUUUAUUGUACAUAAGCUAUCAAUUAUUUUAUUAUUAAGUCACUUUGUUGUAUUUAAUAUAAAAGAGUUAUUCUAAAAAGUGAACUUUCAAGUAAGA